AGAGCGAACGCUGGCGGCAGGCUUAACACAUGCAAGUCGAGCGGGCGUAGCAAUACGUCAGCGGCAGACGGGUGAGUAACGCGUGGGAACAUACCUUUUGGUUCGGAACAACCCAGGGAAACUUGGGCUAAUACCGGAUAAGCCCUUACGGGGAAAGAUUUAUCGCCGAAAGAUCGGCCCGCGUCUGAUUAGCUAGUUGGUGGGGUAAUGGCCCACCAAGGCGACGAUCAGUAGCUGGUCUGAGAGGAUGAUCAGCCACAUUGGGACUGAGACACGGCCCAAACUCCUACGGGAGGCAGCAGUGGGGAAUAUUGGACAAUGGGCGCAAGCCUGAUCCAGCCAUGCCGCGUGAGUGAUGAAGGCCCUAGGGUUGUAAAGCUCUUUUGUGCGGGAGAUAAUGACGGUACCGCAAGAAUAAGCCCGGCUAACUUCGCGCCAGCAGCCGC
rnacentral:rRNA from 1 species